ensembl:lncRNA
GAAGGGUAACAUGAGGAGGAUGAAGGGUAAUAGGAGGAGGAUGAAGGGGAACAUGAGGAGGAUGAAGGGGAACAUGAGGAGGAUGAAGGGGAACAUGAGGAGGAUGAAGGGUAAUAGGAGGAGGAUGAAGGGGAACAUGAGGAGGAUGAAGGGUAAUAGGAGGAGGAUGAAGGGGAACAUGAGGAGGAUGAAGGGUAAUAGGAGGAGGAUGAAGGGGAACAUGAGGAGGAUGAAGGGUAAUAGGAGGAGGAUGAAGGGGAACAUGAGGAGGAUGAAGGGUAAUAGGAGGAGGAUGAAGGGGAACAUGAGGAGGAGGAAGGGUAAUAGGAGGAGGAGGAAGGUAACAUGAGGAGGAUGAAGGGGAAAAGGAGGAGGAUGAAGGGGAACAUGAGGAGACACCACUCAUAACCAUGAGUUUCUCAUAGGAACGUUUAGUCAUUUAAUACUGCUAUUUAUAGUGUGUUGGACAAUGUCCCCCAUAGCUCUCUCUUUAGAGCUCUCUCUUUGUCCCCUACGGCUCUGUCUUUGUCCCCCACAGCUCUCUCUUCAGAGCUCUCUCUUUGUCCC